UACGGGGGGGGCAAGCGUUGUUCGGAAUUACUGGGCGUAAAGGGCGCGUAGGCGGAUUGUUAAGUCAGGGGUGAAAUCCUGGAGCUCAACUCCAGAACUGCCUUUGAUACUGGCGAUCUCGAGUCCGGGAGAGGUGAGUGGAACUGCGAGUGUAGAGGUGAAAUUCGUAGAUAUUCGCAAGAACACCAGUGGCGAAGGCGGCUCACUGGCCCGGUACUGACGCUGAGGUGCGAAAGCGUGGGGAGCAAACAGG
rnacentral:rRNA from 1 species